rnacentral:rRNA from 1 species
AGAGUUUGAUUAUGGCUCAGAUUGAACGCUGGCGGCGUGCUUAACACAUGCAAGUCGCGCGUGAAAGGACUUCGGUCCGAGUAAAGCGGCGCACGGGUGAGUAACGCGUGGAUGAUCUACCCAUGAGUUAGGAAUAACGGCUGGAAACGGUCGCUAAUACCAAAUACGCUCCGAUUUCAACUUCGGGGGAAAGGUGGCCUCUGCUUGCAAGCUACUGCUCAUGGAUGAGUCCGCGUCCCAUUAGCUAGUUGGUGGGGUAACGGCCCACCAAGGCGACGAUGGGUAGCCGGUCUGAGAGGAUGACCGGCCACACUGGGACUGGAACACGGCCCAGACUCCUACGGGAGGCAGCAGUGGGGAAUAUUGCGCAAUGGGCGAAAGCCUGACGCAGCGACGCCGCGUGAAGGGAUGAAGGUCCUCGGAUCGUAAACCUCUGUCAGGAGGGAAGAACCGCCACGGUGCUAAUCAGCCGUGGUCUGACGGUACCUCCAAAGGAAGCACCGGCUAACUCCGUGCCAGCCGCCGC